rnacentral:rRNA from 1 species
UACGUAGGGGGCUAGCGUUAUCCGGAAUUACUGGGCGUAAAGGGUGCGUAGGUGGUUUCUUAAGUCAGAGGUGAAAGGCUACGGCUCAACCGUAGUAAGCCUUUGAAACUGGGGAACUUGAGUGCAGGAGAGGAGAGUGGAAUUCCUAGUGUAGCGGUGAAACGCGUAGAUAUUAGGAGGAACACCAGUUGCGAAGGCGGCUCUCUGGACUGUAACUGACACUGAGGCACGAAAGCGUGGGGAGCAAACAGG